GUCUAUGGCCAUUCCACCCUAAACACACCCAAUCUUGUCUGAUCUUGGAAGCUAAGCAGGGUGGGGCCUGGUUAGUACUUGGAUGGGAGAAAGAUGUUCAGAGGAGACUGAUCAGAGACAAGCUGUUUGGAGACA
rnacentral:rRNA from 1 species